GACAGUAGAAUGCUUGGGAAAUGGCCCCAGAGACAGACAGGGAGGGCCCUGGCUUGGCCUGCUUAACUGCUGACAGCCUAGCUCUUGGCACUGCCAGCUAACAGCCGAGAAUGGCAGAACAGCACUUAGUCUUAAAUUGUUCCAUGGCCCUUUGCCUUCCUUCCACAUGUCUCUCUUUUCCUGGCAUCCUUUUUUCCUGGACACCCAAAUGUGUCCUCAUCACUUGUCCUCCCCCAUUUUGAUGAAAGGAUCUAUUAAUGAAGACUUACAUUUUCUGCAAAGGAUCAGAAAAGAAACAAGUACGUUAAGAAGAAAAGUCACAGUGAUUGUAAGAAGCAAAUCUACCUCUCAUUACAGAAUAAUAUUCAACGUGAUUCUGCUUUGCAUGUGGGAGGAUUCAGAAGUGGGUGAUAAAGAGGCUGAGUAAAUAUUGUGAUUCCUAUUAAGGAGGACUGGGCCAGGAUAAUGGAUGACAAAUCCAAGCUUCUGUAUUUUGUCACAGGUCUGGAAAAGAGAAACGUGAAGAGUGAAGAUGGCAUUCACUGGUUCAUAAAUCAAAAGACUUCUGACAUGUGUAGUCUGUGAGGGAGCCAAACUGAUCUUCCAAAUUCUCAAAACAGAAGGACUAGGCACAUGGUCACAGGAAUGGAAAUGUUAAAUUUAGUGAAUGUGUUUUUGGAAAACAACCUCAAAAUCAAGAUGAAUACGAUCUUCAAAGAACUUGAGAGAACUUUCUGGAAGUUUUGCUUCUGUAUCUUUCACUCUGCACAUCAUUGUUUAACAAGCACAUUGUCACAUUUUUAAUAAUUAGUUAAGCAUGGAACAAGUCACUCACUAACAAAGGAAUAAAAGUACAAGCAAAAAGGAAUGCACAUUACUUGAGGACAGUGGAGGGGGAUAUUUUCCAGCUACUCCAGAUUUGAAGGGUCAUUAGUCACCUUGAUGACCCUUGCAUGAAAAUAAUGAGCACACAGGCAGUAAGGAGACAUUCUAAUAAAAAUUAGGUGACAAUAGAAGGUAAGAAUUGUUCAAGAUAUAACAAAAAUCCCAAGUGAAAGCCAUAUGGAAAGUUCCUAACACAGAGACAAGAAUCUCAAAAGAAGGUGACACAUGUCUUCCAUAAGAGGCCAUUUCCAGAAAUGACACAGAAAUUAUGAAUGCCUCAUUCUUAUUUGAAAGGCCUGAAAUGCUUAGAAGACUGGGCUUUGGGUACUGUAUAAAAGUUGAAACCUUUAACUGUUAGCCAUUUAACAAUUUAAUCUUGCUUUAUUUCUAUUUUAUUGAUUGAUUAAUUGAUUGAUAGCAAGUUUCUGUAAA